UACGGGGGGAGCAAGCGUUGUUCGGAUUUACUGGGCGUAAAGGGCGCGUAGGCGGCGUGACAAGUCACUUGUGAAAUCUCCGGGCUUAACUCGGAACGGUCAAGUGAUACUGUCGUGCUAGAGUACAGAAGGGGCAACUGGAAUUCUCGGUGUAGCGGUGAAAUGCGUAGAUAUCGAGAGGAACACCUGCGGCGAAGGCGGGUUGCUGGGCUGAUACUGACGCUGAGGUGCGGAAAGCGUGGGGAGCAAACAGG
rnacentral:rRNA from 1 species